UUUCAAAUCACCUUUUACCUUCUCGCUUCCCUUUUCACACUUCUUCUUCUUCUAUAAGUUUCUAGCUGCCAUCUUAUUUCCUUCCAUGCCGUGAAUUCCCUUCUAUCCACCGUAUUCUAGGUACGUUUCCACCAUUUUUUUCCCUUUAUGCACUCUAUUCAACGGUUAUUUACUAUUCCGUUGAGGUAUAUGUGCUUUCUUUCAUUCUGUUGCAUCUAAUUAAUUUUGUAGGCUUCCCUUCGUAGCUUUCAUUCAUCUUACCUUGUUUGUGUUAUCUGUUAGUGUGUUUUUUUUGUUUAAAUCAUGGAUUACUCCUCUACUUACCCUUGGGCAAAGAAGGAUUUGGUCAUGGAAACCUUUGUAUAUACUUUUCGUGAGAAAAAUAGAAAUCUUCGUGUGUUGUGUAAUUUAAGUAAAACCGAUGAAAUCCUGGUCAGGGUAGUCCACUGUGAACUCGAUGAACUGGUUUCUAAAGAUGAGUCUUGUGACUCUUCCUCGGUAUAUUCUGCUUUUUUUACGACACAAAGUUUACAAAAUGGCCUCUUUGGCUCCCUUUAACCAUGUUUGAAAUGAAAAUUUUAACCGAGUUAAAUUUUUCUCCGACCAAACUGUAUGCUCUUAGUUCGGAAUAUCUCCGACUUUGAACAUUUUCUUUUAUUUCUUUGAGUUCAGGAAAUUCAACAACUAGUUGUGGUCUUGCCUCAAUAGCUGCGGGGGGAGAAGUUUGUUCUCGCUCUUCCAAUCUUCAUACAAAAAUUCAAAGGCUAUUUUUUUUUUGAAAAUUCGACCUUCUCCCAAACAUUCAACCCUUAUGACGAGUUCCCUUUUUAUUGGUGUCACAAACCCCGUUUCCAAAGCACCUGCCAACUUCCCAACCUUGAUCUGAUGGAGCGAGGAUUUUGUGAGUUCUUUUAGAGUCUUCCAAGCCAUUUUCGAUACCCCUACUAUUCUGAAGCGCGAAUACCGAUUGGAAAUGCUAACAACUUACAUCGGUAUAACAUCUCCUUCGAUCUUUUGUCAUGUUUUUGCUUUAAUUUGUUUGAGUGUGUUCUAACCAAUUUUUUUUUAUGUUUUUUGUAAAAAAAAUGUUUUCCUCUUUGAGCAAGGCUGUGUUGGCGGAUCGAGUACAAAUAGUGCAUGCUGCGAAGACCACUUUGGUGGCCAACUCGAUCGCUCCCGGUGGAAUUCACGUCUAGUCUGAUCAAGGCGGAUGUACCAUAUCGGGAGUGGGACUUAAGAGGAAAAGAUCGAAAGCCCCAAUCCCCUCUCAACACUCAUGCUUGGAUGUCCAGGGACCAAAUGUGGAAGUCUUGGAGGUUGGCCCAUAAAGUGCGGUGAUUGCUCUAAAGGGAAAACAAGUUUUUGGGAGGCCACUUUCGACAUCUCGAAUGAUAACAAGACACAAUACUUGCUUGAAGAGGACGUAAUUUGAUUCAAGGAUUCAAAGGUUGGCCUUUUCUGCAUAAAUGUUGAGAGCUUGCUUAGCCAAGCCACUCCUUUUAUAUUCAUGGCGAAUGUCAAAGCAAACAAAGAUGCUCUUGGGAGGAGAGAAGGAACCAAUAGUUAGUUGAUCUUCAAAAAUAGGUUGAUUGACUUCAAGCAGAGGCUUUAGAAGUGGAUCGCCUUCAUGCCAAUGUGCCAACCGUUUUAUUCACCAACAAAACAGAAAAGUUCCAAAUAACCAAUGAAAAUACGCAACAAGAAAUUUCAACUAAAAAAAAAUUUAAGGCUUGUCGCAUUCCAAGUUCGCAAAAUUUCACCACCAUCUAAGGUCUCUAAUCAAUGCGCUCUGUUGCCAAGUGCUUUCGUAACUCGGUAUGGUUCUGUCCAUUUCGGCGAUAACUUGUUCUCCAUCUAACAAGGGUGAGCCUUUCGUAGUACUAGAUCGGCCACCUUGAACUGCAAGGAUGGAUCUUUAUUUUGUACCUUCUUUCAACUCUCCGUUUCAGCGCCUCAAAAUUUAUUUGAACACCUCAAAAUUCACAUCUAAUAAAUCCAAGUUCACUUGUCGCCUUUCAUCUGAUCCAUUGGUGACAAAGUUCAACAAUCUGUGUGAUUUCUCCAAUGCUUCUACUGAGAUCAUGGCAUCGGUCCUAAAAACUAGGCUAAAAGGAGUUUUCGGUGUUGUGGAUUGAGGGUUGGUGUGAUGGGACCACAAAAAUCCUCAAGAUCUCAUCGGGCCAUCCUCCUUUUGCUUACUCAAGCCUUUUUAUAAUCCUCGCAGUAACACUCUAAUGGCUGACUCGGUCUGAUCGUUAGUUUUGGGGUGCUCGAAAGAUGUGAAGACCUGUUUGAUUCCUAAUUCAACAUAAUCCCAUCUAUCAUUGUGUAUUUGCUUGCAUUUUUUUAUGAGCUUGUCUUCUUCCCGAUCUGGUGGGAUAAGUGUGUCUGCCAGAUAUCAGAUGUAGGGGGUGUUGAUCAAGAGUGAUCAUGUGCUUUGAAGAAUCCAAAUCCAAGGUGUUUGAUGAAAGGUUGGUGUCGCUGCUGUGUUUGGGUGGGAUCUGGGUAUAAUAACAUGUGAUCCACUCCUUUGUUGAAUCUAAAACUCAUGUGAUUUAAAACCUUUUUUAAAUCAAGUGUUUUUCCAACUAAGUGAAAAACAACCUAUUGUUUUGUCGAAUCAACCGGUUGUUUUGCUCUUAGGAGUUUUGAAAAAGGUUGAAAACUGUUUUGGUUUGGUUGAAAUAACUGUCAAGCCAAAACAAUCGGUUGUUACGUGGUUUCAACCGAUUGUUUCUUUGAAAAUCCUAACAGAAUACAGUUUUGAAUGGUGAAUCUAUUUUAAAUAUUUUCUAACUAAAUACACUCCUUCAUUAAUUGCUUUGAUAAAUCUUUGGAAAAUAUAAUUUGUUUAUGUUUUCAAACAUGUAAGAAACAGUUUUGAAAUUCAAUUUUGACAUAUUUGAUUCUAAGAUUUCAAGAUUCACAUCAAGCUUUGGAUUUCAAGUGAGAGUGGAAUAGGAUUGCAAUUGUAUUCAAUUCAGAUUGUACUGUGAUCAGGUGUAAUCCUUUCUAAAACUACUGUAUUUUCGGUGUUUUGUUGCCAAGGAGUAUUGUGUGUUCUUGAGGUGUUCAAGAUCAAAACUCUUGGUGUGGUUUUGCCAAAGGUAGUGUGUUUCUUGAAGGGUUCAAGGUCACUACUUUGGUGGUUUGUAUUUUGUAAUCCGGUUUGAUUGCUUAGUGGAUUACCAGUGGUUUUCUGGGCAUUGAAUGUUGUUAGAAUAUAUGGCCUUAAACAAGAGGGGGUGAAUUGUUUAAAGGGGGUUUUCGAAAACUUCUUAAGCUAGAACAAAAUCCUUUGUAUGAAACUCAAUCAGAAAUUCAGUUAGCCAAGAUAUAAAGCACAAAACAGUAAAGCACCAGAAAAACAAUCGGUUGUUUCUUCGAAACAAUCGAUUGUUUAUACCAGCAAAUCAAUACAACUGAAUUUAAAUGAGUUUAAGGGAAAAAGAGAAACACAAACAAUUUAUAUUGGUUCACUCUUAAACCAAGAGCUACAUCCAGUCCCCAGAAUUCACUGGGCAAUCCACUAAGCAAUCAAAUACAGAUUACACACAAAACCACCAAAGAAGUGACCUUGAACCCUUCAAGAAACACACUUCCUUUGGCAUAACACACACCAAGAAUGUUGAUCUUGACAACCUCAAGAACACACAACACUCCUUGGCUUACAACACCAGAAAAUACAAAGUAUUCAGAAUGAAUUACACUUGUUUACAAAAUAAACUGAAAUCAAUACAAAUGUAAUCCUAUUUGACUCUCUCGUGAGAAAACCAAAGCUAAAAAGUGAAUGUCCAAAACUUGAAAGCAAUCUCUCACAACUGAAAAACUCAAAUCUGUUUUUCUUGUUUGUUAUAAAACAUAAACAACUUUUUUAUAGCUUUCAAAGAUUGGUCAAAGCAUUUAAUACAUGAGCGUAUUCAGUUGAAAAUCAUUUAAAGCACACUCAACUAAAAAAACAGAAUUUAUGUUAGGAUUUUCAAACAAACAAUCGAUUGAAAGCAAGAAACAAUCGAUUUUUUUGGUUUGACAACAAGUCAACCAACCAAAACAGUUUUCAACCUUUUCAAAAAUACCUAAGAGUAAAACAAUCGGUUGUUUCGACAAAACAACAGGUUGUUUUUCACUUAGUUUGAAAAACACUUUAAUCUUAAAACAUUUAAAAACACUUUAUCUUUAGAUUAAACAAAGAGUGAAUUACACAUAUAAACUACCCAGAUCCUAUCCUAAACACAGCAGCAACUUCAGCUUUGCAUCAAACACUUGGAUUUGGAUUCUUCAAAGCCUUUCAUCACUCUUGAUUCAGCAGGUGUAGCUCUUGGCUAAACAGUGAACCAGUAUAAACUAUUUGUGUGUUUCUCUCUUACCCUGAACUCAUUUAAAUUCUAUUUUAAGCUUAACUGAUAUAAAUAACCAAUUGUUUCGAAGAAACAACCGAUUUUUUUUUUCUGUGUAUUGAUGUUUAACUGCUUGAGUUCUUGGCUAACUUGAUUCCUGUUAUGGAUUUAUACAAAGAAUUUCAUUCAACCUGAAAAAGUUUUCAAAAACCCCUUUUAAACAAUUCACCCCCUCUUGUUUAAGGCCAUAUAUUCUAACACGUGGUCAUCCAGGUGUCCGUGUUUCAUAUUUGCAAGAUUUCUACGUUUUCUACCGACGAAUCGAAAUGUGUUGCCAUUCUUUGCAGUUUCAAGGUUUCCUGUACGUUUAUCUGUCUGGUUAUAAGCAGUGAUCUCUCUUCGCCAACAACUUAUGUGCAUCUAGUUCCUUGGUUAGCAGCACACUGACGAUGACUGUUUCAUACUUCGCUUGGUUAUUGCUUACUUUAAAAGAAAAUUUCAAAGAUUCUUCAACUAGAACACCAUUGGGUCCUAUGAGUCUUUAGGGUAGGCGUUGUUAAGGUUUGAAAUCUACACACAUUCUUCAUUUUCCGCUUUACUUUUUCACCAUUACUACGUUCGCCAACCAUUCGGGCUAUUGGAUUUCCCUUAUAUGGUCGGCCUUUAGGAGCUUGUGGGUCUCUUCUCUCACUGUUUGUUGCUCUUCCUCAUUGAUUUUAUGUAUCCUUUGCGCUACUGGUUUUGCGCUACUUGCGGCUGGUUGCUUAAUGUUUUGGACACUCAAUACUUGGGGUUUAUUCACAUCAAGGAAAUUUACAAAGAUGACCUUGAUUUUUCUCUCAUCUUUCAAGAGUGCUCAAAAGGUGGCCACAAAAACUUUUUCAUACAUGAUGGUUUUCUCUUUGAUAAAAUCUCUUGUUAGGGAGGCACAUGAGGGUGGGUUAAUGGGACACUUUGGGUAGCAAAAGCCUUAGAUACCUUGCAUGAACAUUUCUUUUGGCCCCAUAUGCGAAUAUUCGUACAUAACUUAUGUGAUAAGUGCAUAGCAUGUAGGAAGGCUAAGUCUAAGGUGCAACCCCAUGGUUUAUAUACCCCUCUCCCCAUCCCUGACAUGCAUUAAGUAGCCAUCUUUAUGGAUUUCAUUUUAGGUCUUCCCAAGAAAUCUAAGGGUAUGGAUUCUAUCUUUGUGGUAGUGGAUCCUUUUUCCAAAAUGACCCAUUUUAUUCCAUGCCACAAAGUAGAUGAUGCUUGUUAUAUUGCAAAUCUCUUCCUUAAGGAAGUUGUUAGAUUGCAUGAGAUUCUUAGCAGUAUAGUAUCUAUUAGAGACUCUAAGUUCUUAAGUCACUUCUAGAAGACAUUAUGGGGGGCACUUGGCAUCAAACUCUUGUUUUCUACUACUUUUCAUCCCCAAACUAAUGAUCAGACAGAAGUGGUCAAUAGAACUUUGGCCCAAAUGUUGAGAUGUCUUAUUUCUGGGAACCCAAGGGUGUGGGAAAAUGUACUUCCUCAUAUUGAAAUUGUUUAUAAUCGAGUAGUUAACUCUACUACUUCUCACACCCCUUUUGAGAUUGUGAAUGGGUUCAAUCCCCUCACAUCCCUUGACCUACUUCCUAUUCUAGUACCUGAUGAGGUGUUGUGCAAUGAUGGUUUUGAAAAAACAUAUUUUAUUAAAAACUUGCACCACCACAUCAAGCGCCAAAUUGAAAGGAAGGUAGGCAAGUAUGCACAAUUUUCCAAUAAGGGGUGCAAGGCAUUGAUCUUUGAACACCAAGGACUGGGUUUAGCUUCACUUGAGGAAGGAUCAUUUUCCUACUGAGAGGAAAUCCAAACUCCUACCACGUGGUGAUGGUCCCUUCCAAGUCAUCAAUAGGAUCAAUGAUAAUUCUUAUGAGUUAGAUUUACUUGAAACGUAUUUAUGGAGUCAUUAUUUUAAUGUUAGUGAUUUAACUCCUUUCUCUGCAGGUGUUGCAAAUUCGUGGACAAAUUCUCUCCUACCCGGAUAGCAUGUUGAAGACUUGAGAGAUAGAGCAUUCACAGACAAAGCCUAACCCUCCAGAAGGAUGAUCAGGAGCAUGACAUAGGAUUCAGGGCUAGGUCAGGACCCACCACUAGCAAGUGCUUCAUGGCCCAUCAUUCCUUAAAGGAUCACCAGAAGUAGACCCCAAGCCAUAGGAGUUGAGCAUCAGCUAGUCUCUUUGUUUUUAAUUUCAGUAGAGUGUGGUUUUUUUAGCAUAAUAGGGGGUAUUUAUCAUUUCAGCUUAUGCUUAGGCCAUUAGGAUUAUAAUGUUGCCCUAGCUUGUAGAAUCUAAACUAAGGGGCGAUAUUAACCUUGGUCAAACCCCUAGGUUGCCCCUCUCAUAUGCCUUUUAUGCCCCUUCCCCAUCUUGCCCACCAAGGCACCCAUUCUUAUAAAAAGGGUGCCUUGCAUCAUGUAUUUUCACAUAUAUUUUGAAAAGUAAAGAAACUUUGCAUGAGUGAUUAGUGAGCUUGUCUCAUAAAUUAUUUUGAGUCUUAUCUUGAGUGUGUGAGCAUUUCAAGUGGCGACUCUUCCUCACUUAUCUUGGAGUUCCCACCCUAGGUAGGAUGGGAAAAGGGGAAAAAGGGGCAGCCUUAGGGUUUGACUAAGUCAAAUUCGCACCCUAGGCUCAUCCUUCUAGAAACUAGGUCAAAACUCCUUCCUAAAGGGCUAGGAACAAGCUAAAAUGAUACCUACACCCCCUAUUAUGCUAAAGCCACCUUAUUCUAGCCUAUCUUUGCUAUUUGGACCCCUAAAUUGAGAGCAAAUUAUUUACAACAAAUUUUAUUCUUUAAGAAGACCAGCAGGAAGAAUAUUUGGUGCUCUACUUUAUGCCCAUUUCCUCUGGUCAGGGCCAUGAGCUCCUUGGUGGGGUCUUGAAUUGUUUGCUGAGAUGACUACUCAUCAUGUGUUUUGUCUUUUACUUCUUUGGUCAUCUUCAUAGCUACUUGGUUUGUAUCACCAUAUAUUGUGUUUUUCCUUUUGUCCUCUAGAAGUGAACCUUCACACUUAGUCAACCACUUGGUUAAGUUUGUGUCAAGUGGGGAUCUUCUUUGGAUCUCACACCAUAAUUGCCAAAAUCCAAAAAAUCAUAAACAAAUGUCACCAUAAAAUGUGCAAUUCUAAAAUCAACUCACAUCAUGUGGUAUUCAGAGCAUGGUUAUUUUGUGCUUAUUUUCUUUGAGUUGAUUUCGACAAUUUAUUUUCUAACACAUUUAAAUUCUUGCUUUACCUUCAAGUAAUUUAAAUUUCGUCUUUACAUUCUUGUCCUCUACAAUUUCACAAUUUUUAUUCUUUAAGCACUUUAAAUUCCGAUUUUUAAUUUUAUUUUGUGUUAAAUUUUUUUUCCUUACAUCUUUUGCUUUAGUCCUUUGUUCUUAAUCUUCUAUGAUUUUGUAUACCUAUGUUGAUUUUAAUUGUGAACAGUUAAAAACAAAUUGGAAGUUGUGUGAGUAGUGGUUGAUUUAAUUCCACAUAGAGUGUAAAUGUUCAUAUGACUUGAUCCAAACCUAACAUCUUUUUGAAAAGUGAAAAGUGGAAUGACA
rnacentral:lncRNA from 1 species